rnacentral:rRNA from 1 species
GAUGAACGCUGGCGGCGUGCCUAAUACAUGCAAGUCGAGCGAAUGGAUUAAGAGCUUGCUCUUAUGAAGUUAGCGGCGGACGGGUGAGUAACACGUGGGUAACCUGCCCAUAAGACUGGGAUAACUCCGGGAAACCGGGGCUAAUACCGGAUAAUAUUUUGAACUGCAUGGUUCAAAAUUGAAAGGCGGAUUCGGCUGUCACUUAUGGAUGGACCCGCGUCCCAUUAGCUAGUUGGUGAGGUAACGGCUCACCAAGGCAACGAUGCGUAGCCGACCUGAGAGGGUGAUCGGCCACACUGGGACUGGGACACGGCCCAGACUCCUACGGGAGGCAGCAGUAGGGAAUCUUCCGCAAUGGACGAAAGUCUGACGGAGCAACGCCGCGUGAGUGAUGAAGGCUUUCGGGUCGUAAAACUCUGUUGUUAGGGAAGAACAAGUGCUAGUCGAAUAAGCUGGCACCUUGACGGUACCUAACCAGAAAGCCACGGCUAACUACGUGCCAGCCGCCGCCGUAA